AACCAGCUCGGGUGAAGAUUCAGAGUGUGGAGAUGGAGGGGACUGUGUUUACUCCGUGUCUGGAGGGGAUGAAGCAUGUGAAGUCAGAUCGCGGGGAGAUGUGCACCAAGCCGUUUCUGGAUGUUUGCAAGCUUAUUCUACCGGUUUUAGAUAAGUUUGGAGCUGCUAUGACACUUGUAAAGUCGGAUAUCGGGGGAAAUAUAACGAGGCUGGAAUCAAAAUAUAAUUCCGAUCCUUCAAAAUUUGAGUACCUAUACAACAUGGUGAAAGUAGAAGUUGAAUCUAAAACUGCUAAAGGAUCUUCGAGCUGUACCAAUGGACUUUUGUGGCUAACAAGGGCCAUGGAUUUCUUGGUCGAACUUUUCCGCAACUUACUCGAGCAUCCAGAUUGGACCAUGUCACAAGCCUGCACUGAUUCUUACACCAAGACUCUGAAGAAAUGGCACGGUUGGCUGGCCAGUUCUAGCUUCACAGUCGCCAUGAAACUUGCUCCUGAUAGGAAGAAAUUCAUCGACGUUAUCAGUGGUUCAGGAGAUAUCAAUGCAGACAUCGAGAAAUUCUGCUCGUCUUUCACUCCCCUUCUCCAAGAGAACCACAAAUUUCUGGCUAGUGUCGGCCUUGAUGAUCUGAAAGCCUCUUGAUGCGAGAAUCCUCUGCUGUUGAUCGGAUGGUUCUCUUCGUCCCGAUUAUAUACCGUGUCGGGUCUAUUAUGGGGAGCCUUGAGAGAAUAAGUAAGCUUUUAAAUGGCAAAAUUGACAACUUCCUUUUGUGUUUGAUAACAAGAUAAAGA
rnacentral:misc_RNA from 1 species